rnacentral:rRNA from 1 species
UACGUAGGGACCAAGCGUUGUUCGGAUUUACUGGGCGUAAAGGGCGCGUAGGCGGCAAUUCAAGUCAUCUGUGAAAUCUCCGGGCUUAACUCGGAACGGUCAGAUGAUACUGCUUUGCUAGAGUGCGGAAGGGCAAUCGGAAUUCUCGGUGUAGCGGUGAAAUGCGUAGAUAUCGAGAGGAACACCUGAGGUGAAGACGGGUUGCUGGGCCGACACGUGACGCUGAAGCGCGAAAGCCAGGGGAGCAAACGGG